GUGUGUGUGUGUGUGUGUGUGUGUUUGAAUGGGCCCUAAAGUUUGUCUGAACAGGAGAACUGUCAUUUAUUAGUAGUGCGGGAACAAUGGGGAGCUUGUCUCCGGGGUGGUGGGGGCCGGAGGGGGGGGCAGUGGAGCCAGGGGAGGGUGGCCUGAGAUUGGGCAGCAGCCUCUGACCAAGAACAAGCCCCUGUCUGAUGGAGAGAACUGCUGACCCUUCCUGAGUAAAAUGGCACCUUUGUUUCGAGGUGUAUGUGUUUGUGUCUAUGUGUUUAUGUGUGUGUGUGUGUGUGUGUGUGUGUGUGUGUAUGUCUGUUUAUGUAUGUGUGCGUUAAAAGGCUGUUUUUAUGAAGGAAAGGGCUGGGAACUAAGUGUUUGGCCCUCCAGGUGUGUGCGCCGGUGGUUGUUAGGACUUGUGAGGCCUUCUGCGGAGGUGGCUACGUGACAGUGGUAAUGAUAGGUUGUGGCAGGUGAAGACAUGAGUGUAUAUGUGUAUCUUGCUGCAGGCAAGUGUUAGCUUGAUGACAAACUCAUACACACACACACACAAGCCUGUGCACACAACAAUGUACCUUAUAUCAGACUUCAUAUCCCACGCAGUGCAAGCAAUUAGAUGCAUGACAUCAGGACGAGUAAGCACUUGCCAAGUGAGGAGGGCCAAGUUCUUCAGUUUGGGGUCAGAUAAUCCUCAACCAAGCAGCUCUGUCUGAUAUGCAGGUGCUUAAAUCAGGUGACUGAGAGGUCAAGUUCAGGUUGAGGUGUAAUUUAGCUGAGAGAGUCAAGUGCUUCCUGUCUGAUUGUCUUUGACCCGUUGACUUAACAAGUUGAGCCGUGUUUUUAAUUUUUUAGGCGUUUAUACCGAGUAAAGAGUGCCAAGUGUGUGCAUAUAAACAUAUAAGUAGUGUUUUGUUCAGUUGAGAAUAUUUGCAUAGUUUUCAUGUGCACCAAAUGUGCUUUAAUCGUGUAUCUAAUCUAUAGUGUGUGCAGGUAAGAGUGAAAGCUAUAGGGUUUUUGUUGUUGUUUAUUUGGUUUCAAAAUGAAGAGUGACCAAUAUAAAUCCAUAUAUUAAGUCUUCAAAUAUUCAAAGGCACAACUAUGUCUAAAAAACACAAACUUGUAUUUAUAGGAUCAUAGUCAGUAUGAGAGAGAAGCUCAUUGCAGCUUUUGUGCUUGUGGGGUUUGCACCAUAUCUACUUAUCUAUUACGUCACCCAAGAUGAAGAGUUUUAAUUGCGCAUCUUCUGCAAAGGUGCUUUUAGAAACAAUGGUAGUCGGAUAACUGAACAGACUGCGUGGACUGUGUAAUGCAUUCAUUUUCUUUGGUAUAAGCUUUCUGAUCAACACAGUACAUCCUCUUAAACACUGAGCUAAGAUCUGCAGAUGUUUAAAUUAGCUUUUUUUUUAACGACAGACACAUACCUGGAGCUCAUUAAAUGUAAUAUGCACUGUACUACACUCUCCUGUCAUUUACAGUAUUGUAUAAAGAUAAUAGCGCUGCUUGACAAAGAUGCUCAUUGUUGUGGCUUUGCACCAAGGCCUUGCAUCUUGGGGAAACAGAACUGGCUGCGGCAAGUCCCAUCACACAAUAAAGCUCUCAGGAGGACCUUUUCAUCCCCACGGCGUUCCACAAUGGUCUCACCACUUUGGCCGCAUCCGUUUGCCCCAUUCUGCGCAUCUUUCUUCUGUGAUGUCGCAAUAUGUGAAAACACACAUAUGCGCUCGCAAACACACAGGAAGAAGAGAAAGAGGAUAAGCAGAGACAACAGGCGAGCUAUUGUCUUGUCGUACAUAGGAUAGGCUCAGAACUGCUCAUGUCUGCAUGUCUGUGGUUUAAGACGGUUUAGUUCCUAGUGGUGUUUGCCAAGAUGACUCUUCAACGUGUCAGCUACCAUUUAGUUUAUUGAAAGUGGGAGACGUAAAGAUAAUGACACGAGUGAGAAAUGAUUUUAGACACCUCUCGAGUCAUCCUCAAUGGCAGCUUUCCACAUUCCAUCCUCAAGAUAAAAGUCGUAAAAAUAAUAGUCUGACAGAUAAACUCCGGGGAAUCACUGGUUUGUCUCAGAGGGCUUUUGUCCACCAAGAUCAGACCCCCUUUGUCAGGUGCAUGUGUAUAAGUGCUUGUGAGAUUAUUUUUUCAUUAAACUUUCUAUUAUGAAUCAGAGUCUAAUGGGUUCAAAGACAUCAAGAGGAUAUUUCCUGCUGUCUUACGGCACAGAGCUACUUCAAAGUAAUCCAACUGUUGACGGCAGCUGGUCUUCUCUGGCCGUCCGACUUUGUCCUACUGUAUGAAGAAGCUAUUGUCAUUCACAACUGUACAUAUCCCCCACGUACCGCAGUAGAAAGUAUUAUGCUGUAGACAGUAUUAAGCUCCCUGGAAAGAUAUCAAAGCUUCCUUUUGCCAUCAUUGACUUCUCAUUGUUUCUCUUCAAUCCAUCUCUUCUCCCGUCCCAAAGACGGCAGUGCCCAAAGGCAGUAUCAGUGCUUAUAUUUGUGAUUUUGUUGGCAGAGGAACAAUGCUUCAGUUUAAGCAGUGCAUUCCUGAUUAUUGACACACUGUGGUAUGGCGAAGGAUUAGCGAGUGCCUUGGCUUUCUGAUUCUUCAGCUUUGGCCCACGAGCUACACCUGGGUGUAUCUAUGACAACAGGCUUCACAAUGGACAGAUAUUUCACCACUAACCGGUUCGACAGAGAGUCUGUAGCAAAACUUGUAGAAGGAGUGUCGCUUGAGAGGAGAAGAGGGAAAUGUUUGCUUUAUAUUACUGACUGUGGCUCAAAGUGAGCCUGUUUAAAGAUUUCUAGGAAAUAGGAAUUGAGCUGUCACCACUUUAAAAUGAUAAUCAUAUAAUGUGUUUUCUUUUUUUCUUUCCUUUUUUUUUU